rnacentral:rRNA from 1 species
UACGUAGGGUGCGAGCGUUUGUCCGGAAUUACUGGGCGUAAAGAGCUCGUAGGUGGUUUGUCGCGUUGUUCGUGAAAACUCACAGCUUAACUGUGGGCGUGCGGGCGAUACGGGCAGACUGGAGUACUGCAGGGGGAGACUGGAAUUCCUGGUGUAGCGGUGGAAUGCGCAGAUAUCAGGAGGAACACCGGUGGCGAAGGCGGGUCUCUGGGCAGUAACUGACGCUGAGGAGCGAAAGCGUGGGGGAGCGAACAGG